rfam:Enterococcus cecorum DSM 20682 = ATCC 43198 genomic scaffold adfme-supercont2.1, whole genome shotgun sequence.
AACCGCCGUAUACGGAACCGUACGUACGGUGGUGUGAGAGGUCGGUUAGUCAAUUAAUGACUAACCUCCUACUCGAU